GAAAUGCGAUAAGUAGUGUGAAUUGCAGAAUUCAGUGAAUCAUCGAAUCUUUGAACGCACGUUGCGCCCUUUGGUAUUCCUUAGGGCAUGCCUGUUCGAGCGUCAUCUAAACCUUCAAGCCCUGCUUGGUGUUGGGUGCCUGUCCCGCCUCCGCGCGCGGACUCACCUCAAAUCCAUUGGCGGCCCCCGCGUCGGCCACGAGCGCAGCAGAAACGCGAACUCGUGAGCCCGUCCGGGCGGCUCCCAGAAGCUACACCCACCCAGUUUGACCUCGGAUCAGGUAGGGAUACCCGCUGAACUUAAGC
rnacentral:misc_RNA from 1 species